UCCCUGGAGGACUAGUGGUUAGGCCUCAGCGCUCUCACCGCUGCAGCCCGGGUUCGAUUCCAGGCCAGGGAA
rnacentral:tRNA from 2 species